rnacentral:lncRNA from 1 species
CACCGACGCCUUCACUCGCCGGUCACUGCUCGAUCUGCAACAGCAGUGACCCAACGACCCUGCAACUUCGUUUUCAGCCGAGAUCCGACGACACCGGAGCCCUGCUGCUCCCGAUCCGCGCAACCUGACCCGGCCACCUCCAAGUCUCUGUGCCCCACCAGCAGCACCGAACGCCAGAAGUCCCGACUCCGACGCCUCUGUUCAGGAAACCUCCAUCGCCCGCGACGCUGCCACAGCCGCUGCGCUUGCGCCUC